GCGGGAGUAGUUCAGCGGCUAGAAUGUCUCCCUUCCAAGGAGAAGGUCGCCGGUUCGAAUCCGGUCUCCCGCU
rnacentral:tRNA from 1 species